rnacentral:rRNA from 1 species
UGGGGAAUAUUGCACAAUGGGCGCAAGCCUGAUGCAGCCAUGCCGCGUGUGUGAAGAAGGCCUUCGGGUUGUAAAGCACUUUCAGCGAGGAGGAAGGUGGUGAACUUAAUACGUUCAUCAAUUGACGUUACUCGCAGAAGAAGCACCGGCUAACUCCGUGCCAGCAGCCGCGGUAAUACGGAGGGUGCAAGCGUUAAUCGGAAUUACUGGGCGUAAAGCGCACGCAGGCGGUUUGUUAAGUCAGAUGUGAAAUCCCCGGGCUCAACCUGGGAACUGCAUUUGAAACUGGCAAGCUAGAGUCUCGUAGAGGGGGGUAGAAUUCCAGGUGUAGCGGUGAAAUGCGUAGAGAUCUGGAGGAAUACCGGUGGCGAAGGCGGCCCCCUGGACGAAGACUGACGCUCAGGUGCGAAAGCGUGGGGAGCAAACAGGAUUAGAUACCCCUGGUAGUCCACGCUGUAAACGAUGUCGAUUUUGGAGGUUGUGCCCUUGAGGCGUGGCUUCCGGAGCUAACGCGUUAAAUCGACCGCCUGGGGAGUACGGCCGCAAGGUUAAAACUUAAAUGAAUUGACGGGGUC